UGGUAGUCAAGCGAGCGGGUGUGUCAACGACAACGGAAAGACAGCAUCAAACCACCACAGAUGGAUGGCAGGUUGAGGAAACAGCAUCAGGGCUUCAGAUUUAUAGUAAGGUGCUUGAACAGCCAUCUGCACCACUACAUCUGCCCCCUCCACGCUGGCAUGGUUUGGGGCGAUC